rnacentral:rRNA from 1 species
ACAGAGGGUGCAAGCGUUAAUCGGAAUUACUGGGCGUAAAGCGCGCGUAGGUGGUUUGUUAAGUUGGAUGUGAAAGCCCCGGGCUCAACCUGGGAACUGCAUCCAAAACUGGAAAACUAGAGUACGGGAGAGGAUGGUGGAAUUCCCAGUGUAGCGGUGAAAUGCGUAGAUAUUAGAAGGAACACCAGUGGCGAAGGCGACUAUCUGGACUGAAACUGACACUGAGGCGCGAAAGCGUGGGGAGCAAACAG